rnacentral:misc_RNA from 1 species
GUGAAUCAUCAAAUCUUUGAACGCAAAUUGCACUCUCUUCGGAGAGUAUGCCUGUUUGAGUUUCAGCCUAAAAAAAAAUCAACAUAGUCGCUGUUUCUCCGUUACAUUCUUCGGAAAUUGAUGCAUCUUAAACCUUUGUCUUUUAAGCGGCUUAAAAUUUUCUUUACUAUUCUACAAACGUUUCUAAUAUUUACUUCUUACUCUUUUAAGUCAAUUAAUCUGUAUUAUAAGU